CGGAAUGUAAACUUCUUUAAGAAAAAAACAAGCCUUCGGGUGACGGUACCUGCAGAAAAAGCGACCGGCUAACUACGUGCCAGCAGCCGCGGUAAUACGUAGGCUCAGAGCGUUGUCCGGAAAUAUUGGGCGUAAAGAGCUCGUAGGCGGUUUGUCGCGUCUGCUGUGAAAACUAGAGGCUCAACCUCGGAGCCUGCAGUGGGUACGGGCAGACUUGAGUGCGUGUAGGGGAGACUGGAAUUCCUGGUGUAGCGGUGGAAUGCGCAGAUAUCAGGAGGAACACCGAUGGCGCAGGCAGAUCUCUGGGCACUUACUGACGCUGAGGAGCGAAAGCGUGGGGAGCGAACAGGAUUAGAUACCCUUGGUAGUCCACGCCGUAAACGUUGGGCACUAGAUGUGGGGACCAUUCCACGGUUUCCGUGUCGCAGCUAACGCAUUAAGUUCCCCGCCUGGGGAGUACGGCCGCAAGGCUAAAACUCAAAGGAAUUGACGGGGGCCCGCACAAGCGGCGGAGCAUGCGGAUUAAUUCGAUGCAACGCGAAGAACCUUACCAAGGCUUGACAUACACGAGAACGGGCCAGAAAUGGUCAACUCUUUGGACACUCGUGAACAGGUGGUGCAUGGUUGUCGUCAGCUCGUGUCGUGAGAUGUUGGGUUAAGUCCCGCAACGAGCGCAACCCUCGUUGCAUGUUGCCAGCACGUAAUGGUGGGGACUCAUGGGAGACUGCCGGGGUCAACUCGGAGGAAGGUGGGGAUGACGUCAAAUCAUCAUGCCCCUUAUGUCUUGGGCUUCACGCAUGCUACAAUGGCCGGUACAAAGGGCUGCGAUGUCGUGAGGCGGAGCGAAUCCCAAAAAGCCGGUCCCAGUUCGGAUUGAGGUCUGCAACUCGACCUCAUGAAGU
rnacentral:rRNA from 1 species